UUUUUUUUUUACGUUUGUUUAAUUUUUUUUAUUUCUUCUCUUCCCCGUAAUGAAAUAUAUCAGUUUACGCAAGAUGCUGAGGUGUCAAGACUGCUCUUUAAGAUAACAAACAUCUCUCCCCUUUUUGCAUUAUUUCUUUUUGGAAAUUUUUUGUGCUUCCUGGAUUCUGGGUAUUAGUGCUUCUCUUGUAACUGGAGUCCUUUUUUUUUCCCUUUAAUGUUACACUACCUUCACACCUUACUAAGAAAUGUACCUUCAGGAAGAAAGGAAAUCCAUUUGUAAUGUUUGUUAAACGACUGUUCGAUGUCCUCCAUUUCAAAAAAAAAAAAAAUGGGAAGAAUCCGUAAAGCGCAUGAAAUUGAUACAAUGGCCUCUGAUGGGUCCAUUUCUAUGUCCCAGUUGCCAUUUUCCAGUAUAUGAAAAUGUUUUCCAUUAGGCUCUUCUCUGCCAGAAGGGACUUUUCUCCACAUCUCCCUAUGUCUUGGAUUGUGGAGAAGCCAGGGUCCUAUUUGUAUUUUCUGGCUGUGAAAGACAUAACUUGCUCUGAUAUCAGUGCUUAAAGCACGUUGCACAGGUGGAGGCACCUGCAAGCCUUCCAUCGUAACCCAAUAUAGCAUCCAAUGCAUCAGAAUAAGGGAGGAAAUGUCCACCCCUUUCAAAUCUACACAGAAUUCCGUAGGAGCCCUUGUAACGUUUUAUAG